rnacentral:lncRNA from 1 species
AUGACUUCAUAUUUCUAUGUCUACAAUUCAGGAAAAGCUUGGGAUAACUGGGAAGUUAAAGAAGAGUACAAAAAUUACUGGAGAAAUCUAAGAAAUAAAGCUUGGAACCAAUAUAAAGAAAUAUCCCUUUGGACUCCAGAUGCUACUACGGACAUAAAACAAGCUAGUUUAAAAUCAUCAAAAAGCUUUGCUUCCAGAAAGUCCCAAAUUGGGCCUUUGUCCCUAAAUGUGCCCAUCUUAACUCACACUGCAUUGAAGCCAUGUUACUGUUACCUACACAUGAAAAAUAUAAUAACAACUUCCUGCCAAAACAUCAAGACCACUGAGCUGUCAAAUACAUCCUACACAAUUGUCAGGAAAGCAAAAGACAUGUGCUGUCAGUGUACGCAGUGCAUGUGAAUGGAACACUGCUGUCAUGUGUGCAGACUGCCUCAGGUGUGGUCAAUGAAGUAAAGGUCAUUUUUUGUAGAGGGUUCUUAGUAUUUUCAUUGUAGUUCUUAUGGGAAUUUAUUUCUGAUGUUAUUUUUUAGUCUUUGUAAACUGAAAAAGGUCAAUGUUAAAAAUGUUGAUGAUUUUUAUAACCACUCAGUAAUUAUUAAAAACUCAGUACUUCAUUUUUGUGAUACUUUUUCCUGUUAAUACUUUUCCUGUGAUACUUUUUCCAUUGCUUAAUAUAAUAAAAUUAAUAAAAUUAAAAUUAAUAGCCCAUCAAUGGAAAUAUUCUAAAGAACAAGUGUGGAUCUGACAGACUCAUAUUUAUGCACCUUGAUAACAAAAUUAGUCUUAUGCCCCAUUAACCCUCCACUACAUGAUCUUCCAGCCCCCACCUCACCACAUGUCUGGUCCAGAUUACAGUUUUGCCUUACUCCCUUACUCUCCACUCCUUUAUAAUACUCAGUAAAAGACAUAGUCUGAGUCCAUGUUCCUCUCUGUCUGUCAGACCUGAGCUCUUUCUCAGACCCACAGUCUGAACUCUCUUUCUUUAGAUUCUUAAAAAUCCCAGUUUUUCUCUAACUUGCUGGGAGUUAACUUUAAACCCCUUGAUUAGAGACUGCCCUUCCCUCCAGAAGGUUAAAUGGACUCCAUUUAGAACAACUACUUGCCUUUAACAGGGGACAACAGCUAUCAAAAGCAAUUUACACUUGUGUUAUACAUAUGCUGAGACUGAUAUAACUGAUCUUUUCUGGAUGUUCAACAAUUAAGGUUUACAAAUCAGAACUAGAGAGAUAACUGGGCUAAAAUAAAAAAAGUAGCCAAUAUUUUGGCCCAGGCCCCCAAAGUCAGAAAGGAUCAAGGACCUUUUAUACAAUAGCCUACAACUUUGGUGAGUCACCCAAUCUCCUGAGCAGGGAGAUUUCUGGACUCCAGAAGACAGAGUUGUACAAAUGUAUGGUGUGCCAAAGUAGGGUCACUGAGAGAGAAAAGUCUUCCAUGCUUUCACAGAAAACAAUAUGGUCAAGCAAGACCAUAACCUACCCUGGCAGCUGACACUCACAGAGGAGCUGAAAGGCUCUUACGUGGUUCCAAGGAAAAUACCUGAAGAGGCUUACCUGACCUUGAUAAACAGCAAAAAGUCAAUUUUGAUUAGCACAGGUCUCAUUUUAAGUUGGUUUUAAACACCCAGUAGAACAAUAUAAUCAAAAGAGAUAAACUUUUGUCAUCUGUCUAUCUGCCUUCCAAAGUAGUGGUUGUUCAAUAUAGAGGACACACGUCCACUGCUCCUUCUCUCUCUCCUAAAUAAAAAUAAAAUUAAUGAGACAAGCUAUCCUCCAAAAUCAGAUGGCCUUAGACAUUCCA